GUGUAUGUGUGUAUGUGUGUGUGUGUGUGUGUGUGUGUGUGUGUGUGUGUGUGAACAUCACAUUUUGAGGCGUUGAUAGGACUCACCAUACUUAGAUGUCACAAUAGAAAAUGAAGAACCACUGCACUAAAUCACAUCUAAGGUUCCUUCUACAUUCAAAAUUCUAGAAUUCUGGGAGGCUGCCUUACUGGCUAAAUCAAAGGAUUUAUCUGUAUGUUCCAAUUAUUCAGAGUGACCCAGUCCCCCACUGCUCUGGAUAAUUGAGAGUUGGUUGCUUUAAGCUUGGUAACUUAUAUCCAUGCUGAAUUCUCUUAUUAGGAUAUUAGCACAUCAAGCACAUAUUCUCUCCUUUUAUCUCUCUCUUUCCACCUUCUGGAGAUGGCAAGUAAUAUGAUAUACAUAAGUGAUGGUGAAUCUUUUAGAAAGGUGGGAGAUGUCCUCAGGUGCACAUGGAGAAGAGGAGGGCAGCAGCCUAUGCUCAGAAGACCUGAUGUGGGCAAAACAUUGUAAAAAUAUAGAGGAAAGUGAAAGGAAGUGGAUUAAAUAAUUUACAAUUUAUUUCCUUAAAGAGUAAUUAUUGAGCCUGGGACAAAUAGCACAAAAGCUAUUCAAAAAAUCAGCACCUUAGCUAACUAAUGGCAGAGUGUAGAUGAAAGAACUCACUCAUGGUAAUCAAUUCUUAAAGAUGGUUUCCAAAAUAAAAGCAUAAAAAUGGAACCUUUUAGUUUUAACUUAUU